rnacentral:lncRNA from 1 species
GGUUUAGGGAUGUUUGACUUAUAUCAAGCAUUUGAAAAUAGACAAGCUCGAACCUAGGUCUGACAAAUAUUUUUUAUUGGAUAUCUAAAAAAAAUUAAGGGAUAUUAUUUCUAUCUUACUGAUGAGCAAAAGGUUUUCAUUAGCCUUAGGGCUCUUUCUUGGGGAAGGAACUAACGCCACUAAGAUUGAAUUUGAUAAAGUUUGACAGGUAGA